UUUGCAUACCGUCGGCGCGGCGCACGUGUGCGUCGUCAGCUAAGAAUUUUUCACUUGACUUCUUUACGUGACUUUACCUGUGCUCAACAUAGGUAACGUUAGCUUUGUUCUUUUAGUAAAUGUAUUAGCUCUGUAGUAUAUUUAUCCAGACCUGUGUGGAAUACUUCGUGUACUGCUGGAGGAAUGACCGGGAAACAACUUUGUGGAGUUUAGGUCUACGAAUUGCUAUGUCGUCAAUGGCGCAUGUCGGCCCUCAACAGUCUUCAUCCCAGACCUUUCCCUUCCCACUACCAUUCGCUCCAUCUCGGCCUCCACAGCAGCCAGUGCCCAGGCCUCGGUGCUGGGUGGCCGGCAGGUUCUUGUAUACGGCACGGCUGUAUGGUAUGAAGCACAGGCCCAGUUGGAGGUGCCGGGCCAGGCGGCAGUAUGCAGCCAGCGCCAGGACCAGAAGAGGGGUGACCAAGAGGAAGCCCACCACCAGCAGAGCCACACAGCCUCCGUCAGUCAACAGGUCUGAGCAGUAGGGGGUCGUCCCGUGAGGGCGGACCUGGGGAGAUGAGAGGAGAAAGACAGCAUCAGAAUGAUAUGUCAUAGAGAUUGAGAUCAAAGGUCAGGCAGCUGCAGCAGGUCCUGGUUAAUCCCUCUCUAAGCUGCUGUCACAUGAGGUCUAAUUGUGAGAGAGCAGAAGAACAGAGAGAAUCCUGGUCUCUCUAGUCAUUAAGGAGGUCGUCGGCCCACGGAAAUGCCAUCGAGUGGCAGAGGAAGCCGAACACCACCAUGACAAUGGCCGGCGUCAGGAUGGUCCCGAACACCAGUCCAGCGAGGCAGGCGUUGAUCGUGGCAAUAACCAGGUUCUGAGCCGUCACCAGCACCGAGCAGGCCCAGCAA